rnacentral:misc_RNA from 1 species
UUUCCGUAGGUGAACCUGCGGAAGGAUCAUUAAAGAGUAUGGGUCCUCACGGGCCCGAACUCCCACCCCAUGUUGUCGCGAACUUCGUUGCCUCGGCGGGCCCGCCCCUGGGCCCCCCGGUCCCCGGACCGGGGGCAGCGCCCGCCGACGGUCAAGACACACAACUCUUUGUUUGAUUGUGAAGUCUGAGCACAAAUUCUUAAUGAAUCAAAACUUUCAACAACGGAUCUCUUGGUUCUGGCAUCGAUGAAGAACGCAGC